GGUUUGUAGUCCUCGAAGGCGGACGUGCUCUCUUGCGCCCUCUACCAAUGAAGUAAUCAUUAUUAUUUAUUUAUACACCGCUUGCCUACAGAAAAAAGCAGCAGCAGCAGCAACAACAACAACUAGUACUACUAUCAGUAGUGGUUUACAGGAAGAUAAAAUAAUAAAACGGAGGGGGAAAAAUACAACCCUACUUUAAGACCUAUAUUAGUCUUCCUCGCUAGGACUGAUGGGAACUGUAGUCCCACCACUGUGGUUCUCAGCCUGUGGAUCCCCAGAUGUUGUUGGACUACAAUUCCCAUAAUCCCUGAGCUCUAGCUAGGGGUGAUGGGAGUUGUAGUCCAACAUCAUCUGGGGACCCACAGGUUGAGAAAGGCUAGCAGCACCAUGUUGGCUACCCACUGCUUUAUACGGUUAUAGAUUUAAAGGGGGGGGGGAUUCCCCGAACCCUAGAAAUUAAUGCGAAGGUUUUGAUCAACUGGGAUAUGGAUUAAAGUUCAGAACUAUGCCAAACAGGGAAUUCCUGUGUUGGCUUAUGCAAACCAGCCUGGCUGUCUGGGGGAAGAGCAAACCCAUGAAUGUGACCACAGGUGUUGAUGGGCCAUUGGGGAGUGAGAUGUUACCAAGGUGGCUGGGUGUAUGUUUGAGGGCACGGGAAAAGGGUUUCUGGGAAGAAGAAGCAGGAGGAAGGGGGGAGAUCCGUCUUGGGCAGGGAGGCGGAAGGUUGCCUGCACUGCUGUGGGCCAUGCAGUAAGAACUGGGCUCCCUCCACACAGACUGAAGGUGUAAGUAGGCAAAUAAACCAUAUUUCUUAAAGCCACAACAGUCUCCGCCAUGUCUUCCGUUCUCCAAAGGAACCAGGCAAGGAGAGGGGCAGGCACCCGAUUUUUGUAACAAUACUAUAAAGAAGAGAGCCACUGUUGUGGUCAGAGCGUUGGACUUUGGAACUCCCUCCCUGGAGAAGUUAGACUUUCUCCCUCCUUGUUGUCUUUCUGCCGGCAGAUGAAGACUUUCUUGUUUCAACAGGCUUUGGGGAAUUGACUGCUUUUAAUGAAAGGACUGGUGUUAUAUUGUUUGUAAUUGUAAUUAAGGAUAUGUUUUAACCAGAUGUUAUAUAUGUAAAUGUAAGGUAAAGGACCCCUGGAUGGUUAAGUCCAGUCGAAUUUGACUAUGGGGUGCGGCGCUCAUCUCACUUUCAGGCUAAGGGAGCCGCCGUUUGUCCGCAGACAGCUUUUCUGGGUCAUGUGGCCAGCAUGACUAAAACGUUUCUGACCAAAACACAAUGGGACACCGUGACGGAAGCCAGAGCACAUGGAAACGCUGUUUCCCUUCCUGCCGCAACUGUACCUAUUUAUCUACUCAUGCUGGUAUGCUUUUGAACUGCUAGGUUGGCAGGAGCUGGAACAAAGCAACGGGAGCUCACCCAGUCAUGCGGAUUCGAACUGUCGACUAUACGAUCAACAAGCUCAAGAGACUCGGUGGUUUAGACCACAGCACCCCCCUUGUCCCGUUAUAUGUGUAUAUAGUUUUAAUUCUGGUAAUGUUUAAUUGUUUUUAAAUGAUGGUUUUUUUCUUUGUUUUUAGCAAUUCUUGUUUUUAUCUAUAAGCUGCCAUGUGUCUCAUAAGGGAAGAAGGCACAGUAUAUAUAAAUGCAAAAAUAAUAAUAAUGGAGUUUGCAGAUGCAUCCGAGGGAAUCAGCCAGGCUGCUGCCCACCCUCUCACUGGCAAUCCACAUGGUCUAAAUAUAGGCUUCACUCAGUCUCGCCUGUUCAGCCAAUUUAAUGGUCUUGAUCCUAUUUAACUUUGACCGGAUCAUGCCCUGAGUAUACGGCAAGUAAUAUGAAGGAACUUCAAAUUCAUGUUUACCCGACAGGAGAGUGUGGUAACUUCUCACGGUUUCCUGAACACCGCUUUUAAAAAAUAAACAAACACAUCCAACUCUUUAGAGGGAAAUGUCACGGAUGAUGACAGAUUCGAGCAAACAACAGAUAUAUAAAAAUAACAACACUAUUUUAAGGAUACUUGGAAGUUCACUGGUUCAGAUAAUUAUCUUCUGCUCAGUACUUCUCCCAUCGUAAUGUAUCUCUUUUAUUUGAGCAGGUCAGUUGGAGCAACACCAUUAUGUAGAGAAACUGACUCUGUUAACUGCACAGACGUUUUGUUUAUGAGCAGGUCAACCUCAGAAAGGGAAUUUACUGUUUUAUUUUUAAAACAGAGCGUGCUCUUUGAUCAUGUCAAAGAAAUAAUUAUGCCAUGAUACUUUUUCUAAUAUCCUUUUUUUAAAAAAAUCAUUUAUAUAUGAGCAGGGCCAGUCUUACCAUUCUACUUUGGCUGCUUACACAUUAUACCUUUAAAACACAUGCUGCAUACAGCAUACUAUUAGAAUGGGAGGCAAAAGAUGAAGAGGUAAAAUCAGUUAUGAUUAAAUGGGCACAAGAUGUAAGUCACAACAUUAUGAUGGGAGAUUGGGAAAAACUAUGGAAAACUGACUUAAAAUUUACAGCUUGUUCCCUAUUGAAGGAUAAUUACAUAAAGAUGAUGUACAGAUGGUACACAACACCAGUGCAGUUAGGGAAAAUGUACAAAACUAGUUCAAAUAUAUGUUGGAAGUGUAAGGAAAAGGAGGGGACAUUUUAUCAUAUGUGGUGGAACUGUAAGGUAAUUAAAAUUUUUUGGGAAAUGAUAUACAACGAAUUGAAGAAAAUGUUCCAUUUAACAUUUGUUUAAAAACCUGAAACUUUUUUUUUUUUAGGGAUUGUAGGGAAAGAUCUGCCAAAAAAAGCUGAAAAACAACUUCAUGUAUGCGACAACAGCCGCGAGAGUUCUGGUAGCACAAGGAUGGAAGACUGAAGAAACCCCAACUAAAGAAUCAUGGCAAGAAAAAUUGAUGGACUAUGCAGAACUGGCAAAAGUGACAUACAAGCUACGGGACAAGGAUAACUGUGACUUUAAAGAUGAAUGGGAACCCUUUACAAAGUAUUUGAAGACACAACAAAGCAAAUUGGAUUCCUUGGCUGGUUUUGAAUAAACAUUCACAAACUUUUUAUUGACAAUAAUCAGCUAAAUAGUUUGAGGAUUUAUACAACUGUGUAACAUGUAACAUGCAGAAAACAGCAUUUUUAGAGAAACUGAGG